AUAACCCUGCCUUAAUACCUAAUGUUUUUAAUUUAUCCAAUGACAUUGUAUUAUUAAUUACUUAAUUGUCAUAUUAACUCAUUUAAAUUGUCACACGUCACAAUUACCAAAGCUAAAAAUGGUCACAUUAAACAUUAGCCUGUGCGUUCAGUAAGCCUCCAUUUAACAAACUAACAGCUAAGCAUGCUCAAGAAAAUAAAACAAGAAAUCAUGGCAACAUGAAUGGUUUUGAUCAGGCAUUGAAGAUCCAACAUCUGGACCUUAAAAGCAUUUUAGGACCAAUCUACACUGGUGGUCAUUUACAAUGAGCUAAAUAUCUAUUCGGACAAAGUAAUUAUUUAUAGUUUUCCCAGCCCAAUUCUUUUUCAAGGGCUUCUUUAAAAGUUAAAACUCAUAAUACUCAAAGCACAGCUACAUUAAGUUAAAACUGCUUUAAAGUAAAGGAAAGUAAUGAACAAAAGAAAGACAAUGUAGAUAAAUGAGCCUGGAGUUUUAAUGAAUACCUUUGUUGUUCUUUUGAAAUUUAAAGUAGGCCCCAUCCCUCGUUCCUCAACUUGAUGAAGAAAACAGCCUGCCACGCUCAGAGCAGAGGCGGAGCAAUCCGUCUUCAUCGUACCACAGAGGAACGGAUUCCUCUACGGGGGAAAGUAACUGCUAAUUGCAGUUAAACUUUUUCACUAAAGUACCGUCUUGGCGAACAAUCAGUCGUUCUGCCACAGACAAUGGAGACAAAUCAACAAAUCAAGGAAAACUCAACCUACAUAAAACAAUUAACCAUUCAAACAUCAGCCCUGUGCACAGAGGGGAUUGUCUUCUGUGAUGAAUGCUCGACUUGAGAAAUUCGCAUCCAUAUUGCAGCUAAUUCUUACCAAGAACCGCCCACUUAAACAGGAAGUGACUGCCUGAUUGACCAUUUUUAAAGUGACCAUCCACAGUUCUCUGACAAUAUUCAGACAAUAUUGUGCAUACAGAGGAAUCAUCUGAUGUAGAGGUCGCCAGGCCCAUAGCGACGACUGUUGGGGAUUACCAGAAAGCUGCCAGAGCCGCUGUUUACAUUUGUGAGAUGCCCUCAGGUUUCUGUUUACAUCAGAAGCUAUGAAUCCCUGUAGUUAUGUGUCUUUUUCUUUUUGCUCGCUGGCUGAUAUAGAGGUAUUUAGCAACAUGAAGUUAAAUUAAAGCUAAGAGCAGCAGAGAAAGGAGGGGAUACGUCUCUCCUGUCCCACCUUAUGGUGAGUGACACUUCAUAUUAGCACAUAAUGAGGAGUGUGAUCAUCGGAUGAUGGGGACAAAAAAAGGAUUUAAGGCUUUAAUGACUUUAGGGAAUGGAUAAAGCUAUGCUCAGUUUAAGAGGGGAAAGAUACUAUUUAUAAUUACAAAAAAUGAAGGAAACUAGCAUAAAUAAACAUACAAAAAUGUAGUUAACAUGCUGU